GGCCUGGUAGCUAAGUAGUAAAGCAAGGGUCUGCAAAACCCUUAUACGCGAGUGCGAUUCUCGCCCAGGCCU
rfam:Candidatus Staskawiczbacteria bacterium RIFCSPHIGHO2_01_FTLL_39_25 rifcsphigho2_01_scaffold_552, whole genome shotgun sequence.